rnacentral:rRNA from 1 species
CUCUUGACGUAGCGCGACGGGUGAGUAACACGUGGGUAACCUACCUAUAAGACUGGGAUAACUUCGGGAAACCGGAGCUAAUACCGGAUAAUAUUUCGAACCGCAUGGUUCGAUAGUGAAAGAUGGUUUUGCUAUCACUUAUAGAUGGACCCGCGCCGUAUUAGCUAGUUGGUAAGGUAACGGCUUACCAAGGCGACGAUACGUAGCCGACCUGAGAGGGUUAUCGGCCACACUGGAACUGAGACACGGUCCAGACUCCUACGGGAGGCAGCAGCC